rnacentral:rRNA from 1 species
AUUGAACGCUGGCGGCAGGCUUAACACAUGCAAGUCGAGCGGGGUGAUGGUGCUUGCACUAUCACUUAGCGGCGGACGGGUGAGUAAUGAUUAGGAAUCUGCCUAUUAGUGGGGGACAACAUCUCGAAAGGGAUGCUAAUACCGCAUACGUCCUACGGGAGAAAGCAGGGGAUCACUUGUGACCUUGCGCUAAUAAAUGAGCCUAAGUCGGAUUAGCCAGUUGGUGGGGUAAAGGCCUACCAAGGCGACGAUCUGUAGCGGGUCUGAGAGGUUGAUCCGCCACACUGGGACUGAGACACGGCCCAGACUCCUACGGGAGGCAGCAGUGGGGAAUAUUGGACAAUGGGGGGAACCCUGAUCCAGCCAUGCCGCGUGUGUGAAGAAGGCCUUAUGGUUGUAAAGCACUUUAAGCGAGGAGGAGGCUCUUUUGGUUAAUACCCAAGAUGAGUGGACGUUACUCGCAGAAUAAGCACCGGCUAACUCUGUGCCAGCCGCCGCCGUAA